rnacentral:rRNA from 1 species
GAUGAACGCUGGCGGCGUGCUUAACACAUGCAAGUCGAACGAUGAUCUCCAGCUUGCUGGGGGGAUUAGUGGUGAACGGGUGAGUAACACGUGAGUAACCUGCCCUUAACUCUGGGAUAAGCCUGGGAAACUGGGUCUAAUACCGGAUAUGACCUUCCAUCGCAUGGUGGUUGGUGGAAAGCUUUUUGUGGUUUUGGAUGGACUCGCGGCCUAUCAGCUUGUUGGUGAGGUAAUGGCUCACCAAGGCGACGACGGGUAGCCGGCCUGAGAGGGUGACCGGCCACACUGGGACUGAGACACGGCCCAGACUCCUACGGGAGGCAGCAGUGGGGAAUAUUGCACAAUGGGCGCAAGCCUGAUGCAGCGACGCCGCGUGAGGGAUGACGGCCUUCGGGUUGUAAACCUCUUUCAGUAGGGAAGAAGCGAAAGUGACGGUACCUGCAGAAGAAGCGCCGGCUAACUACGUGCCAGCAGCCGCGGUAACAC